ACGUAGAGGACCAUGGUCAUUGUCUGUAAUGUUUUUGACUGAAUUUAGAGGUUUUAAAUUGAAAUUGUUAUGGAACCUUAUUUAGGGUGUGUGAGGUGUAGUUUGGACACCCCAAGAGGGAGGAAAUGAUCCAUGUUUGUCAUUCUAUCAAGUUGGGUGAAGUUCAAACACUUGUGCAGCAGACAAGUGAGUGGUAAUUG
rnacentral:lncRNA from 1 species